AACGAACGCUGGCGGCAUGCCUAACACAUGCAAGUCGAACGAGACCUUCGGGUCUAGUGGCGCACGGGUGCGUAACGCGUGGGAACCUGCCCUUCGGUUCGGAAUAACUCAGGGAAACUUGAGCUAAUACCGAAUGAUGUCUUCGGACCAAAGAUUUAUCGCCGAAGGAUGAGCCCGCGUCGGAUUAGCUAGUUGGUGAGGUAAAGGCUCACCAAGGCGACGAUCCGUAGCUGGUCUGAGAGGAUGAUCAGCCACACUGGGACUGAGACACGGCCCAGACUCCUACGGGAGGCAGCAGUGGGGAAUAUUGGACAAUGGGCGAAAGCCUGAUCCAGCAAUGCCGCGUGAGUGAUGAAGGCCUUAGGGUUGUAAAGCUCUUUUACCCGGGAUGAUAAUGACAGUACCGGGAGAAUAAGCCCCGGCUAACUCCGUGCCAGCAGCCGCGGUAAUACGGAGGGGGCUAGCGUUGUUCGGAAUUACUGGGCGUAAAGCGCACGUA
rnacentral:rRNA from 1 species